GCUAUGGGGGUCCGACUAAGCCAUGCGAGUCAUGGGGCGCGCUCUGCGCGCACCGGCGGACGGCUCAGUAACACGUCGGUAACCUACCCUCGGGAGGGGGAUAACCCCGGGAAACUGGGGCUAAUCCCCCAUAGGCCUGAGGUACUGGAAGGUCCUCAGGCCGAAAGGGGCUUUCGCCCGCCCGAGGAUGGGCCGGCGGCCGAUUAGGUAGUUGGUGGGGUAACGGCCCACCAAGCCGAAGAUCGGUACGGGCCAUGAGAGUGGGAGCCCGGAGAUGGACACUGAGACACGGGUCCAGGCCCUACGGGGCGCAGCAGGCGCGAAACCUCCGCAAUGCGGGAAACCGCGACGGGGGGACCCCCAGUGCCGUGGCAUCGCCACGGCUUUUCCGGAGUGUAAAGAGCUCCGGGAAUAAGGGCUGGGCAAGGCCGGUGGCAGCCGCCGCGGUAUUACCGGCGGCCCGAGUGGUGGCCGCUAUUAUUGGGCCUAAAGCGUCCGUAGCCGGGCCCGUAAGUCCCUGGCGAAAUCCCACGGCUCAACCGUGGGGCUUGCUGGGGAUACUGCGGGCCUUGGGACCGGGAGAGGCCGGGGGUACUCCUGGGGUAGGGGUGAAAUCCUAUAAUCCCAGGAGGACCGCCAGUGGCGAAGGCGCCCGGCUGGAACGGGUCCGACGGUGAGGGACGAAGGCCAGGGGAGCGAACCGGAUUAGAUACCCGGGUAGUCCUGGCUGUAAAGGAUGCGGGCUAGGUGUCGGGCGAGCUUCGAGCUCGCCCGGUGCCGAAGGGAAGCCGUUAAGCCCGCCGCCUGGGGAGUACGG
rnacentral:rRNA from 1 species